UACACUCCUGCGGGAGGCAGCAGUGGGGAAUUUUGGACAAUGGGCGAAAGCCUGAUCCAGCAAUGCCGCGUGAGUGAAGAAGGCCUUCGGGUUGUAAAGCUCUUUUGUCAGGGAAGAAACGGUGAAAGCUAAUAUCUUUUGCUAAUGACGGUACCUGAAGAAUAAGCACCGGCUAACUACGUGCCAGCAGCCGCGGUAAUACGUAGGGUGCAAGCGUUAAUCGGAAUUACUGGGCGUAAAGCGUGCGCAGGCGGUUUUGUAAGUCUGAUGUGAAAUCCCCGGGCUCAACCUGGGAAUUGCAUUGGAGACUGCAAGGCUAGAAUCUGGCAGAGGGGGGUAGAAUUCCACGUGUAGCAGUGAAAUGCGUAGAUAUGUGGAGGAACACCGAUGGCGAAGGCAGCCCCCUGGGUCAAGAUUGACGCUCAUGCACGAAAGCGUGGGGAGCAAACAGGAUUAGAUACCCGUGUAGUCCCAUGA
rnacentral:rRNA from 1 species